AAGCCAAAAGCACGAGGAAUUAGAUACUGCUAUUCCUAUGCUUGCUUGCUUUCUUCUUUCUUCAAUCAAAUGCAUUGGCAUCGAAAGCAGCUGGUUUUGAAGCCAGUUGGAGUAUAGAUCCAUGUAGUCCUCUUGGACCUCAAAACUGGGGCACGCUGCCUGGAUAUUCAUGGGCAAUGUGUGCUUCAAGACCUGAAGGAAUGCAAUCGCCCAUAAGCGUCAAACCCAGCAACAUCUACAACAGACACUUGGGGAGGUUGAUCAGAUCUUACACCGAGGCCCCUGCGCUUCUGUUGAACAAGGGGCAUGAAAUCAGCAAGAAAAAAAAACUUGAUUUUUUAACAUUUUCUUCAAUUUAUCAUAAAUUUUAGAAGAUUGUGCUAGUUUUUGAAAUUGUUGGAAUUUUUUUCAGGUUAAUUGGACAAAAUUGCCCGGCGCUCUUCUUCUAAAUGACAAGUUCUUUUAUCUCAGGCAGUAUCAUUGGCACACACCUUCUAAGCAUGAGCUCUUUGGCAAAAGAUACCCUUUGGAACUUCACAUGGUUCACAUCGCUUCAGAUUCAACCCCAGAAAUAACAGUCAUCGGUGCGUUGUUUGAGUACGGUGGCAUAGCCGAUCCUUUCCUGGACAUGUUGCGGGUGGCCCUGAAUGAGCUGAAGAACAUGACUAGUGUUGAUGUUGGAGCCAUAAGCCCACCUGUCGUAGGUGACGAAGAAUCUUAUUUUAGAUACAAUGGAUCUUUGACAACUCAUCCUUGCAAUGAGCCUGUUAUUUGAUGGACUGUGAUGAAAGAGGUCAGAAGUGUAAGGAGGAGCAAGUUGAGCUACUAAGGGCUCCAGUGAAUCAUACGGACAAUGCAAGGCCGACACAGCUAGUAAACGGACGCAAAGCGAGCUCUUGAUCCGUGAGGAGACUAGGAGAUCGUUUGGACGUUCCUAAUCCGCUGACACUGAGAGCGGACGCACCGAUAAAUCAGCAUCAAUCACAGAUCCAAGUGAGUGAUGAAGGGCACCGUCAU